rnacentral:rRNA from 1 species
GAUGAACGCUGGCGGCGUGCCUAAUACAUGCAAGUCGAGCGAACAGACGAGGAGCUUGCUCCUCUGAUGUUAGCGGCGGACGGGUGAGUAACACGUGGAUAACCUACCUAUAAGACUGGGAUAACUUCGGGAAACCGGAGCUAAUACCGGAUAACAUGUUGAACCGCAUGGUUCAACAGUGAAAGACGGUCUUGCUGUCACUUAUAGAUGGAUCCGCGCCGCAUUAGCUAGUUGGUAAGGUAACGGCUUACCAAGGCAACGAUGCGUAGCCGACCGGAGAGGGUGAUCGGCCACACUGGAACUGAGACAGCGUCCAGGCUACUAAGGGAGGCAGCAGUAGGGAAUCGGCCGCAAUGGGCGAAAGCCUGGCGGAGCAGCGCCGCGUGAGUGAAGAAGGUCUUCGGAUCGUAAAACUCUGUUAUUAGGGAAGAACAAAUGUGUAAGUAACUAUGCACGUCUUGACGGUACCUAAUCAGAAAGCCACGGCUAACUACGUG